CACCCACACUGAGCACAGCCUCAGCCAGCCCCACCCCUGCCAGGAAUAGGCCAGGACAGGCCCCAGCCUGCAGCAGGCAGCCCAUCCUAGCCCCAUGCACAAAUCUCAGGGACACAUGCCCCUCAUGCCUCCCCUGAGCGCGUGUGCAGCAGUGGGAGCCGCACACUGGACAAGCUGCGACUCCAUCCCACACCCCAACCUGGCUGUGCAGCACAUGCCCCAGCCCCGCUCCCUCCUUCACCAUGGUGCCUCCAUCUGCAUCCUUGCUGCCCCGCCCCCAGCUUUUUCUUUCCCACAGAUAUUACCAGCACAAUGCUGCUCUCUAUGCUACUAGGCUGGACUCCUGGCCAUGCGCAUGCUGGGGCUGCAUACAUGCGUGCGGCUUUUAUUGGUGACAUUAUCGGCCACAUCAGCAAAAAAAGGCUGGUUGCCGGUAAUGUCAGUUUUCCUUUUAUCAGUGUCAAUACGAUAUGGACUGAUAUAUCAGUGAACCUCUAAUAAAUGUCUAAUUGGGAAUGUAGGAAACUGCAUUUAAAUUCACAGGUAGAUUGGAAAUUUAGAUGAGGUAAAAGAUUAUUUAAGUAGCAUUCUUGCUUACAUUUCUGAGAAUUCCCUUAUGUAACUGAAGGUACAACAUUGAACUGGAACCAUGGUUUAUGAGAGUAGCUUUUCCAUUAUUUCCUUCGUAAUCAAGUAAUGCAAAGUCUGGAUUUUGUGGAGUUUCUAGUCUUCUGUUCGUUAAUAGAGGGACUAAGUUCCAGUGGCAAAAGAAGGAAGUUUACUUAGAGAAUAGGCAAAUAAGGCAUUUAAUUCCUCCUUUCCCUACUUAAAUCAGGUGCACACUGUUUCUUUACAGGUAUUUAUGCAGCAGCAGCAAGUUUAGGAAAUUGAACAUUAUUCUACUCCUGUAUGAAAGAGCAUGGAAGAAUCGUAGGUUCAAAUCAAGCAGCUCUUCCCUUCAAUGAUUUCUUAAUAUAGGACAGACAGAUUGUGCACUCUACUCAUGGAUUUAACCUGAAUAAAGAUUGUAAGACUUGACCAGUAUGUUGUGUGGUACCAUGCAUCCAGAUCUAGUUAUGCAGGAAGCCCUCAUGCUGAUCCAUUUCCUAUCAAAGGAAUUAAGGAUUAGAUGUUUUUAAGGCAUGAUUCUCUAUAGACACUGUGGAGAGGAAGUGCUGUCUAAUGAACAGAUGGAAGAAAGCAGAAUGGACUGAUCAUGUCAUGCAUGCAGCCCUCCAGCUGUGCAAAGAGACCCCAUUAAAUGGAACAGUUUAAAACAAGCGAUGGGAGUAGCUGUAACAAGAAGGCAUCCCUGGAAGUACAGCUGCAAUGGAGACAUGGUGGAAUCCUAUUGUUGGGCACAGGAUACCAUUCAGCCUUUAUUUGGGAGGCGCUCAUUUCUCUGAAGAGGUUGCAAAACCUAACCCCAUAGCGUGUAAAAGUCUUGAGGGAUCCUUUUUACUGCCUGUUGGACUGAACAUAAACCAGUUAGCCCUGCUAAGAAAAGCAAUUGGAAGGGCAAGACAUGCUAGGAGUAUUUCCUGUUUUUGAGCAUCUGAGAGAACUCCAAUUCUGACUGCACUUUGCAAGAUGCUCUUGGCUCUCUUCCUGAGAACUUCUCUGCUGAUUUAUUUAACUUCAGCAAGUUAUGUAGACUUCGAAGAAGGUGAGUGAGUGGCACAUUUCUUCUUUUAAAGAAAAAUAUUACCAUUAUUUCACUCAAAAAUGAAAAUUCAAAUUGAAGUCUUAGGGGCUUGUUUCUGAAAUUACACUGGAGAGAUUUCAUUGGCUUAGCCAGUAUUAGAUCAGAUAUGAGUCAUAUGCAUAUAGGAAAUGGCAGGCUUUUAAAAAACAUAUUUUCUUUAUGAAUCACGUUAAUGUGAAGUUGAUAUAGAUUCUGGCCAUUGAUUUGUGUGCUAAUAUAUAGAAACUUCUUCAUGAAUUUCAUGUGAAUUACUUUUCAAGAAGGACUCCAUUGUGCCCAUUAUACAUUCAUAAUAAUGUUAGGACAUCCAGAGCCCUGAAUUAGCAUUUACUAGUGUUUUAAAUUUAAAUGCCAUAAAUAUUGCUAGGAUUAGGAGGAUAUUUGUUUUUAUUACACAUGUAUGAAAGAACAUGAGUCUGGUCCUUAAGAAUUGUUGGAUACCCUAUGUACCCUAACCCUAAUUUAAUUAUAGGAUUCCAGAAUGGAAACUGGAAAUAAUUGAAGUUUAUUAAUAGAAUGGUGGAGCUGAAGAAUUUAUAUAUCACCAAAGUCAUUAACCAAGAUUUUUAAAAUUUAAAAUAUAGAAAUUAGUAGGGGAAAACACAUUUUUAAUUGUAUUCCAAAAUUGAAAUUCCUAGGUUAUAAAUCUAGAAGAGGACCGUUGUGAUUACUUCUCUGUCCUCUGUAUAACCCAAGUCUUAGGACUUCCAGGGAAUGAUUUCUGUUUGAAGUAGAGUGUGUAUUCUGGAGGGUGGGUGGGGGGUACAGUGUUGAUUUUAAAACUGCUAGUGAUGGGAAAUCCAUUGCAUAUUUUAUCCCUAGUCUCUCAAUAAUUGCAUGUCUGUGUUAGCACCCUUGUGCUUUCAAGCCCUGUUUUGGUAUUAAAUGCAUUACUUUUUCCCUCACAAUUUUCAGGUAGUUCAAACUGUUUCUUGCUACUUACCCUGUAAUUAAAAUAGACUGAGUUUAUUACAAUAUAAAUUACUUUUUUUUUUAC